rnacentral:rRNA from 1 species
GGACUGAGACACGGCCCAGACUCCUACGGGAGGCAGCAGUAGGGAAUCUUCCGCAAUGGACGAAAGUCUGACGGAGCAACGCCGCGUGAGUGAUGAAGGCUUUCGGGUCGUAAAACUCUGUUGUUAGGGAAGAACAAGUGCUAGUUGAAUAAGCUGGCACCUUGACGGUACCUAACCAGAAAGCCACGGCUAACUACGUGCCAGCAGCCGCGGUAAUACGUAGGUGGCAAGCGUUAUCCGGAAUUAUUGGGCGUAAAGCGCGCGCAGGUGGUUUCUUAAGUCUGAUGUGAAAGCCCACGGCUCAACCGUGGAGGGUCAUUGGAAACUGGGAGACUUGAGUGCAGAAGAGGAAAGUGGAAUUCCAUGUGUAGCGGUGAAAUGCGUAGAGAUAUGGAGGAACACCAGUGGCGAAGGCGACUUUCUGGUCUGUAACUGACACUGAGGCGCGAAAGCGUGGGGAGCAAACAGGAUUAGAUACCCUGGUAGUCCACGCCGUAAACGAUGAGUGCUAAGUGUUAGAGGGUUUCCGCCCUUUAGUGCUGAAGUUAACGCAUUAAGCACUCCGCCUGGGGAGUACGGCCGCAAGGCUGAAACUCAAAGGAAUUGACGGGGGCCCGCACA